GCUGCUGUGGUCUAAGGGCAUGACACCCGCUUUAGACGCAGGUAGUCGCCGGUUUGAGUCAGGGCAGUAGCA
rnacentral:tRNA from 2 species